UGGGGUACUAAGGAUUCACUACAUGCUGUAGAUGAAGUGGCAAGAGUGGCAUUAGGGAAGGUUGAGGGAAGCAAAGACGAAGUUCGGGGGGAGGGGGGACCUAAAGAAAAAGAAAAAACUAGUAUCCCUCAGGCCUCUAAAAUGGCUAAGUUAUCUGCUAAGGAUAGUGGCGAAGACAAAGCUUUUGACCUUGCGAGUUAGUCUUUUCCACUUCUCAACUUGGUCUGUGCUUGUCUUUUUUGCUUACUUAUCCUUCUUACAUGUUCUUUUGUUUUGACAGAAUAUGAGAAAGCUCUCCGUGGCCUCGGUCCUAAUAAUUUGGUCAGGAUAAGAGCUACCCUCGGGUACAAGGUACAAUUUUUGGAGUUUUUAGCGACAUUUUAGUUGUUUCAUAAGUUUGUUGUUUUCCUUGGCUUUACUUAUUUUUCAUUGAUUUUUCUUUGCAGGCUAUGAUUGCUGGUAAAGUUGUUGUUGAGACGCUCAACG
rnacentral:lncRNA from 1 species